rnacentral:rRNA from 1 species
GUGGAUUAGAUACCCUAGUAGUCCACGCCCUAAACGAUGUCAACUGGUUGUUGGGGGAUUUAUUCUCUUAGUAACGAAGCUAACGCGUGAAGUUGACCGCCUGGGGAGUACGGUCGCAAGAUUAAAACUCAAAGGAAUUGACGGGGGCCCGCACAAGCGGUGGAUGAUGUGGAUUAAUUCGAUGCAACGCGAAAAACCUUACCUACGCUUGACAUGUCCGAGAUCCCGAAGAGAUUUGGGAGUGCUCGAAAGAGAAUCGGAACACAGGUGCUGCACGGCCGUCGUCAACU